CUUGCGCCUCCUCCCCGGGCUCCGCGCGCCCGGAACCUGCGUCGCUCGCUCCUCCCAGACUCCGCCUACCCCGUCCCUGGCUCCACCACCCGGGAACUGCACCAGCUGCCCCGGGCUCCGCCCCGAGGACCUGUGCGGCCCGCCGAACGCCGGCUCCUCCCCCGAAGCCUGCCCGCGGGACUCGUCCAGUCGCUUCGCCUCAGGCUCCUGCCCUGGCCCAAGCCAGCCCGCCAUGGAGGGGGAUGUGCCCGCCGCUGCAGCCGCCCGCUACCAGCCGGCCAGCCCCCCGCGGGACGCCUGUGUCUACAACAGCUGCUACUGUGAAGAAAAUAUUUGGAAGCUCUGUGAAUACAUCAAAAACCAUGACCAGUAUCCUUUAGAAGAGUGUUAUGCUGUCUUCAUAUCUAAUGAGAGGAAGAUGAUACCUAUCUGGAAACAACAGGCAAGACCUGGAGAUGGACCUGUGAUCUGGGAUUACCAUGUUGUCCUGCUUCAUGUUUCAAGUGGAGGACAGAGCUUCAUUUAUGAUCUUGACACUGUGCUGCCAUUUCCCUGUCCUUUUGACACUUACGUGGAAGAUGCCUUUAAGUCUGAUGAGGACAUUCAUCCACAGUUCAGAAGGAAAUUUAGAGUGAUCCGUGCAGAUUCGUAUUUGAAGAACUUCGCUUCUGACCGAUCUCACAUGAAAGAUUCCAGUGGGAACUGGAGGGAACCUCCUCCUUCGUACCCCUGCAUUGAAACUGGAGAGUGGCUACACCAGCUUGCAUUCCCACCAGCAGUGUAGGAGGGUUCCCCUUUCUCCGCAUCCUCGCCAGCUAAAAGAUUACACUUUGAACAAACAAGUGAGCCCAACUGAAGAACUGUCCUGUCAUUACUUAAAAGGGCCUUGGAGGAAGGAAGUGACUGUUGUAGCACAGAAGGUGUAGAACCAGAAAAUGUGGAAAUAUGUGAAGAUCCCUAGGACCAGGAAGGAAAGUCCAGCCUGAGCCAGAAUUACUCACUUAGCUCUCCUGUUGAGGACUGACCAGCAGCUUUCUGGUGAGAGAGACUCGUUGGAGACGUGCUGGAGAGAGACUUGCUGGAGACUCGCUCUGGGACCUGCUGCUUCUGUGUGUUGGGUGCACGUGUACCUGCUGAGUAGAGAGAACACAUUCUGGAGAUUAGUGACAGUCUCUGCAAGCAAGUCCUUCUGGCACCUUCCCAGAACACUGAGGUAAUGAGGCUGUCCAGUUAUAACGCAGUGAGUAUCUGGGCUGAGUGCUGGAGCAAGUACAGUCCAGCAUCUGACACUCAACGGGGACAAGGGGCUAAGUCGCCCCCCGUAAGACAGUCUCUUACAGUGUGAGGCGCACGGUGACUGCUUAGUAAGGGAACGAAUUUGCCGAGGGAACGAAUGUAUGUUUAUGAGGAUCUUUCCAUGCAUUUCUGUUAGCGGUGUUGUUAUAAAACCAAUGACAUAGUAUGUGGUUGUACCCCUAAGGCAGCUGUAGCCAGCUGAUGAGAUUGAAUUUGGUUGUGGGACCCAACCGACACGACUAGAGUCAUUUUGCUCUGGGACGGCUUCUCUCCGGGUCUCCUUUUGCCCUUUGUCUCCCUGAGCUCCCUCCCAGUCUUGCUGACACAUUGUCUGUGUCAGUUCCGAGAGCGUUCACAAGUAUCUCCAGCUAGUUAGAGCAUUCUUUCAGGAGAUCUACUCCGUGUGUGCCAUGGCCGAAGAUCCCAGAGGGAGGGGACAAUAUCCCUGUAUUUCCACAGGGUAAGUUUGGGGUGCUGUGGUCUGAAUGCUUGUGUCCCUCUCUCUGUCCCAAAUUCAGAUGUUGAAAUCCUACCCCAUGGGGUGAUGGUAUUAGGAGGUGGGGCCUUUGGCAGGGGAUUAGUUCUUGAGGGCUGAGCCCUUGUGACUGGGGUUAGCACUCUCAGGAAAGAGACCCUGUCCCCCCAACCCCUUCCCACGUGAGGACGCAACGGUAGGUGUGCAGCCCACAACCUCACUGCCCUGCGGGCGCCCUGACUGGACUUCCAGCAUCGAGAACUGUGAGCAGUAACUUCCUGUUGUUUGGAAGCCACUCAGUCUGUGGCAUUUUGUUAGGGCGUCCUAAAAGGAUCGAGACCAGAAUUCCUAACCUGCAGUGCCAGCACAUACUGUGUGUGGUGAUAGGAGCACAUGUUUCUGGAGGAGGACCCGUAGCUUGUAUUAUCUGUUUAUUCAUUUUAAAAUAUUUUUACUUAUGUAGGGGCUACUCUUUGCCAGCUCCAGGUUAGAUGCUGGUAACUGAAACCAGAGUAGCAUGUGUCCUCCUGUUGGUUACGGGCUGACAGUAGGGACCGCUGUCCAUCAAAGAAUCAUCCAAAUGACCACACUAUGGCAGCUGUGCCCCGUGCUAUUAAGGAGAGGUAAUAGCUACAUAAGGUGGGAGAAGUAAUCUGGUUAAAGGGGUGGGGAGGCUUCCUAGAGGAGGUGUCGCAUCCAUCCAACAGAUAGCUCCUAUUCAGUGCCAAGCAGUGUUCCUGCCCUGGUGACUGAGCAGCGGAGAAAAAGCCCAUGUGCUCAUAGAGCCUACAUUCUGGUGGAGGGGACAGACCGUGAACGUGUACGGCGUGUGAAAAGAUGGUGGCCAUUUAUUGAGUUGGGGAAAGAUUGUGGGGGGAGCCUUUUGGGAGAGGAAGAUCAGGAGUUUCAUUUUGGACGUUAAACCUGAGAUGCCAGUUGGAUGUCUUUGAGGAGAUGUCAGGUAGGAGUUGGGAUUCAGGGAUGAGGUUCAGGGUGCGAAUGUACAAUUGGGACGCUUGGAUAGUAUUUGAAGGCACAGGACUCUAGGAGAUCGUGGAGAUGCUGGGUGUAGAUGGGGAAGAUGUCUGGGGACCUAGUCUUGGGGACUUUUACAUUUAGGGGUCUGGAGAGGAGAAGGUGCCAGAAAGGGACAGAGAGGAUGAGCUGGGGCGGGAGUGGGAGUUAGAGGAUAAGGAGAAAACCAAGGAAGCCCAGGGGAGAAGUGAUUUCAGAGAGACAGGGAUCGGAUCACAUGUCCCUGGUCAGUGGAGUCAGCUGAGGACCGAGGUGACUGUUGGCUUUGGCAGCAUGGAGCUUCUUCAGAGCAAUUUCAGUGGAGUGAUGGGGAUGGCAGUGGUUGGGCGGCUUCAGGAGGGAACGGGAGGAAGGAGGCAGAGUGCUUGGUAAAUGGAGCAGAGAAAUGGGCCAGUGCGGAGGGGGAAGAGGUCAGGGAGAGACUGCUGUGUCUCUAGCCCUCAUGCAGUUUUUCCUUUAUGAACAGAUUAACCAUUUCUGCCCCUCCAGAGAGAGCUCUGAUGAUACCAGAGACCUGUCCUCCGGGCCUGCUGUUGUCGCACACGGGGCUGACACCACUCAGCUCUUGCUCUGGCGGGGGUUAUUCCCGAUGACUAGAUGAGUCCUACGGUUCCCUUCUCUUUUCUUCUCUUCUUCCUUCCUUUCAAGAUUUUAUUUGAGAGACAUAGAGAGCAAGAGCAGCGGUGAGGGACAGAGGGAGAAGCAGACACCCUGCUGAGCAGGGAGCCUGAUGCGGGACUCGAUCCCAGGACUCUGAGAUCAUGACCUGAGCUGAAGGCAGCCGCUUAACCCACUGAGCCACCCAGGCGCCCCAACAAUGUCUUUCUUGAGCAUCGACGUGGAGGAAAGAAUGCUGGAUGGCCUGCCGGGAUAUUUCAUCCUUGGGCACUAGCCCUGUAGGUCGCCCUGCUUUUUUUCUGUCUCCUCCCCACCUUGCAGUCUGUUUCUCCUUGAAGCAGCCAGAGCGGGCUUUAAAAAUACAGACCAGAGCACCUCACUCCCCUGCUUUAAAAACAACCACAAACCACCACCACUCCUACUCUAUGGUGACUUCAAAAAGAACUUAAGACAAAACCCACUGUCUUUUCGGAGACCCUUGAGGCCCCGUGUGGUCUGGACUGUGGCCGCACCUGAGGCUCCAGCUCCACGAGUCCCGGUGUGCUCCCUGUCCUGGCACCGCCACGAAGAUUCUGUUGUGAACCAGGCCAAGUGCAUUCCUUCUGGAGGGACCUCUCAUGCUACCUGCUCUGAUUUGCCCCUUCUUUUCUGCAUCUUCUCUGGGCCCGGCACUCCCUGACAUUUAGGUCGUAGCUCCAAGUCCACAAAUCCAAGCUGCCAGACUAGGCAAGGGCACGUCACUUCAUCACUUCUUUCCUUCAUAGCAGUUGUCACUAAUGGAAACGAGCUUGUGUUUAUGUUUAUUUACGAGCCUGUUUGCUGUGUCCCUCCACCAGGCUGCGGCGGCUGGCUCCGCCUUACUCAGGCCAGCGGCAUCCGUCUGGUCCUGUAGGUGCUCUGCAAGCAUUCCUCGACUGUUUCACCAAGGAUCGAGCCUCCCAGCCACUGGAUCUCUGGCUAAUGCCAGGGAAAUGCUGCUCGGUUCUUGCCCGUUGGAUUCCUCCCUCCAAACUAGGUUCUGUUCCUUUCCAGAUCACACUGUCCUCGUCCACGCGGCUUCCUCUGACAGACCCCCUGGCCUCCAUUCUUUUACUUCUCCGUCUGGAGGACACAUCACAGAUGGCUUCUGCAGGUGGCCAAGAUCUCACGAUGUGGCUUAUUAGUGUCCCCCACACUCUCACUGGGCUCCUCACCCCCCAAACGUACCCGAUAACACCUUGUCCCGUGUCUGACUGACGGUGGGGCUCACGGGAUGUCCCCCUUUCCUCUGAGCUGACCGCGCAGCCUGGCACCGGAACAGACCAUCUCUUUUACCCUCCAGCCACGGAGAGUGCGGCUUUGGCCAUGAGCUGCAGCAGGCAUCUGCUGGGCCCAGGCUUUUAAUAACAUCCAUUUGUUAUCAAGUGAGCAGUCAGAGCUGAAUUUCGCUUCGUGUCAACAGGCUGGCUUUCCUGAGGUUUCCAUGGGGACCCGGAAUUUGAGAGCAAUUUCUGGGAAGAACGUUGGAAAGAAAUUGAGAGGCAAAAUGUUAAUCCAGUCACAAUGUUCUGGCACACACCGUUUCUAGAAUCAUGGGUGAUGGAUGCGUCACUUCCCACUCAAGGCCCGAAGGGUUUAGCGCUGUUGUGAUCUCCAAGUCCAGUGUAGAGGAGGCCUAAUUCCUGCACUCCGAAUACCGGAAAAAUCAGUUCUGUCCCUCAGAUGACUUUGUCCCCCAUUGGACUUGGACUUCUAGGCAUCUUGGGAACUUAAAAGCAAAUCAGUUUGGACCCACCUCUAUGGAAGAGAAUAGAUGCUCCAUGAGGAUUUGUUGAAAGAAGACAUAGCGUGAGAGGAAGAGGGCAGAAGGAGGAAGAGUGGGCAGUUGGGUGCAUGACCUUGGGGAGCAAGAAAGUUCUUCAGGCAUCUUGACAUGGGACAUGAGAGUCACUUGCCUUGGAGGAAGCCAUGAUGAAAGUGUCAAAGACAGAAGACCCAGAGGAGGCAUAAUGACCGGGAAGCUGAUGCUCACAGAGGUCACUCAGCGAGCAAGUGGACAAAGUAGGAUUCAUUCUCAGGACUAUUGGAGUCUAGAGUCGGUGCCCUUCACAGACAAGACUAUAGGUACCCUCCUACCCACCCCUUUGUUGGCUAUGCCUUCCCUCCACCAGGACUGAAACUCCAAUUUUGACACCCUGGAGAGCAAACCGGGGCCCAGGCACUACACUGUUGGUUGCAGCUUGGGAGAGAGGAGACUAAAAUGCCAUCUUUUGACUGCCUUCUCUAAGUCUUAGGGUCUUGCUUCCCCCGGCACAGAGGAGGCUUAAAGUGCAUUUUAAUGAAUGCAUUCUGCUCUCUUGGUACACAAGGGGGAGCAUUUAGCACAGGAAUGGGAAUAAGAUCACUGCAGAAAGUAUCCUUGCUCUUUGUAGGAAAAGAGUUCUCUCUCUCUCUCUCUCUCUCUCACUCACAGUUGUUUUCUGAACCCUUUGAAAGCAAGUUGCAGAUAUCAGGAGACUGCCUAUAAAUACUACGGCAGGAUUUCCUAAGAACAAAGUCAUUUUUCUGUAUAAUCACAAUGUUAUUUGCAUGUCUAGGAGAUUUAACAUUGAGGCAAUGAUAUUAUAUAAUACCCAUUCUAUAUUCAAAUUUUUCUAAAUAUUCCCAAGAUGGCCUUUGGUGCUUCCCCCACCUCCCAAUAUCGAAUUAACAUUGUAUUCUCUCAAUAUUAGAACAUGGUCAUUUUUUCAAAAUAUUUUGUUGCAACAUGUUCACAAUUUUUACUGGCUAUUUAAUAUUCCAUGCAGCUGAUUUGCCAUGAUUUAUUAAUAAAUAUCUCUUUGGUUAUUCCUGUGA